CGGGGGAGGAGGAGGAGGAGGAGUGUGGCUGUCUCCGCUCACUUCUCCACAGCGAGGGGACUCCGAGAAUAAACAAUUCCCACAGACUACACGCUCCACACCUCAGCUCGCUCUCAGUCGCAGCACAAAAAAAGAAAUCCGUAAAGAAAGACAAAAAAUCGAGGCUUUUUUUUGGACUAAAAAUUUCGAUUCUUUUUUUUUUUUUAAAGGCUGCCUCGCCAUUUCUGUUUCCUGCCAAAAGUGUCGCGACCGUUUUCAUUGGAUUUGCCUGCUCCUGUCGAAUAAUAACGAUGCGCCUCUCCGGCUGACUGUGGGGUGGACAACGCAGGUUAUGUGGCAGGAGUGCAGGGGAGAAGCUGGGGCUAAGUGAAAAUGCCACUCAUUCCUGAAGAGUCCCUGGCCUCGUCAAGGCUAUCACAGGGCCCCGUCCUUCCCAACUUCUUAGCAGCCCGUCCUUUUGGGAACCUUGAGCAGCCCAGGCAAGGACACAGCGUCUGGUGCAGUAAGCCUGUGCAGAGGGGGAGGCUUUACGUAACGUUCUGCUUUAAACAUGGGUGUAUGACUUCCCUGACACGGAGCAGUGCGGUGCAGAGCUGCACAGCUCACAGCACAUGUCCCCUCGGCCGCCCCCCCGCCCCACCCCACCCCACCCUCUCCUCAUCCUGUGAGGAGGGGGAGGCAAGAGAGAUCCCUGCAACUUAAUUAUAUCUUUCUCUUUUAAAA
rnacentral:lncRNA from 1 species